GAAAGAUCGAGCGAAGAACAGGCGGAGAGAGAAUGAGAGAAAGGGCAAAGCUGAAUGCGAUUCGAUCAGGGAUAGUGAUAAUCGGAUCUUUGGCGUUCGGAUACUUGACUUUAGAAAUCGGAUUCAAGCCGUUCCUUCAAAAGGCACAAGAAGAAGAGCAAAAUAUUCGUCUCCAGCCUGAUUUCUCUCUGUGUCCUGAACAACAAGAAGAACCCUCAAGCUAUCGCUCCUAACGACUCAGGUACUCGGUUCACUUGUCUAGCUUCAGGAUUCAUUGAUUUUAAUGUUAGAGAUGUAGCUUUUUACUUUGUCAAUACGUGAUUAUGCGUAUAUAUUAAGUGGAAUAAGGCCAAGAGGAUUAAAAUUUUUGGAGACAGUACAUGGAAGUGUUGAAAAUGAGAAGGAUUCUCUGAAAAGCCAAGAUGGCGGGGUUGGAUCUCAGCAGUAAAGCGAAGAUUACUUAGAGACGGCCAACCGAUAGGCAAAAGAGAAUCAACUAGCUUUCUUCUGAUUUGAGUAGCUUAUAAUAGGGAAUAUGCUAAACCUGGGAACUGGGCUUGGUCAUCCUUUGCCUUUUAAUGGCAUUUCUUUUCCUGACAAAUUUUUUGGUCAACAUGUCUUAAACUCUUUACCUUUGAAGUUCUGCCAUAUAAAAGUCACUGAUAAUGCCCUAGUCUAGACUUGGGAUGUGAAUGAGUUAAUCUCAAUGUAUUGCUGUUGAAGAAAAAUGUUUAAAAAAAAAAGAGAAAAGAGUGAGAUUACAUUUUUUGUUCCUCAGUAUAAACCAAAAGUAUAUAAAGACUUUGGGAACUCUAGAAAGGGCAAUCUCAAUACUCACCUGAAAUAUCCUAAAAGACAAGGUAAUGGUCAGAGUACUAAUGAGGAGGUCCUAAAACUGUCAUUAAGAAAAUUGUCAAGUGUUUCUUCUGCAAGGAGAGUGGUUAUAGAAAAUUUGAAUGUUAAAAGUUUAAGUCAAGACUAGAGAAAAAUAAAAUUGAAGGUAAUCCUAUUUCUCUCGUUUGCUUUCAGUCCAAUUUUGUUAAUGUGCUACCUAAUUCAUGGUGGCUCAAUAAUGGGCGCACUUGUUCACAUUGCUAUUACAUUGUAGGGGUUCAAAACUAAAUGGAAGUCAAGUAACUUAGAAUGCAAGCUUAAAGUGAGAAGGAUGUUGAAACAAAUGUCGAGCUUAUAGAAGUUAUUACACUAAAAUUAGAGAUUGGCUUUGAAUUAAUGUUGGAGAAGACUACAUACCUUUUUUAGACAUAAUUUGAUUCUGUUUCUAUUUUGGAUAAUUUAGGAUAUUUUUUCAAUUUUAGAAAUCGAAAAGUUAAUAUUUCUUUUCAUUCUAAAAGUAUUGCUUUUAGUGUUUUUUUUAAUGAUCUUUACGAAAUGUGUUUGGCUCCCUAUUGAUUUUUGUAACAAUUCCGGAAAUGCAAAAUGAAAUAUAUAAUAAUUUAAGUGCGAAAGCGAAAUAAAAAGUAAAAGUUUACAUCCCUUACACAAUAACUUAAAAGUACUAAACAAACAUUUCAGAAUGAAUUCUCUAAAAAAAACACGAGAAAUGAGAAAAGUAAAGGAAAAUAUAAAAUAUUUAGUAUCUACUCGCAAUUUUCUUGUGGAUCGGGUUGGGGAAGUAGGUUCUCUUGACCUGAAAUGGUUAAAUAAAAGAUGAAGUACACUAGUUCAGUAAGGACAUCACACUAUAUCACCGGCACAAAAGUAAAGGUUGGUAGAAAAUCAAAAUAACUAAUGGAGCACUAAAUUUAAACCAAUACAUUUAUUAAAAAUAAAAUCAUUUCUCUUUCACUUACCAUCGGGGAAUUUAUGAAAACAAAUUAUAAAAACAAUAAUACCACACAGAUCAUAAUUUAAUGCACGAUCAACAACAUAUAACAUAUCAUAAAUUCACAUUCAUUAACAAUAAAUUAAAUAAUAACUGUUUCUCGUUUCACCAGUCUACUAGUAUCCAUGGGGAUCCAUAGAGGUGUCCCUGCUACAUGUGAAUCCUUUCCCUUAACAAUCUUAAUUACAGAGUCGUCCCCAUACCCCGUCCGGUAUGAGUUCCAAGACUUUAAACCUCAAUACCUCAUCCGGUAUGAGGGUGAAGCAGUCGUCCCCAUACCCCGUCCGGUAUGAGCGUCAAAUGACCAAGUCUCCAUACCCCGUCCGGUAUGAGACAACGUUCACGGUAGGGUUCCUUAUAAACCCGAUCCGUCCACCAUCUCGCAGGAUAUCUAGUGAGACUGUUAUCUUAUCUGUUUAUUAGAUCACACCCAUUUCUUGUUUUCCCUUAGUCUCCGUUACCAAAUCAACAUAAUCACAUAAAUAAAUAAAUAUGCAUCCAGUAAUGCAAUCAUAUGUUAAAUCCCAAGAUCAAACAGUGGUCAAGUAAGGCAGUAAAACAUCCAUUUAGACCAUAAAAUAUAUAAAUCAGAUACCAUCAUGCUUUUACACUGUAAAAUAAAUCAACAGAAAUCAAUAGAGAACAAUGUCUUAUUCGGGCUGCAUUAGCAAUUCGUAAUUAAUUAUACACAUCUAUUUAAUUUGUACAAAAACUGUAUUAUUAUUUAUUCAAACUUCAAAUUUAUGAUAAGAAAUAGCGUGAGGGGUUCUUACUUGAUUUGACACCGAAAAACUAAAUGGUUACUGCACCUACGGACGGUGCCUAGGUUCUCUGAAUUUUUCUUCGGGAACUGAAAUGUGUUUAUUGUACCUAUAAAUGUCCCAAACAAACCCAAAAAUCAGUCCCAGUGCCUACUCGGCCAAUUUCGGAAAUCCAGCACGGCAGCUCCGCCGUACUCCGGCGACGGCGGUCCGCCUCAGGUCGACUGUUUUCGGCCGAAUUCGGUCGAUUUUAUAUCGAUUCUUGCGAGUACACACGCUAAAGGGUCUCGGUGGUCUGAAAAAAUAUGAAAAAUCGAAACUCACCGGCGGCGGGGCUCUCCGCUGUGGCGGCUCCUCCGGCUCACGUUGCGGUUGGGUGUUUCGUUUCAGUCAACCUGUAGAGAGGAAAACGGUGAUCACAAUGGUGGAAAAAUUACAGGAAACGGGAAUCGGGAAAGGUCUCAUCGAAGGCGGCUUGUGAAAUUUUUCACGGCGUUUUCCGGCCACAACGGUGGAAAAAUUACAGGAAACGGGAAUCGGGAAGGGUCUCAUCGAAGGCGGCUUGUGAAAUUUUUCACGGCGUUUUCCGGCCAAUUGGCCAAUUCUUUUACUCCGAUUUAGCCAUUGGUGGGUUUAAAAUUGAAUUUCGUGCAAAAGGAAAAAUUUUUACCUUUUCUGGUGGUUGGAAAAAGUUUCGGUGGGCGGCAGUUGGCGAUGGUCGUCUUCUCGGCGGCUGGGUUGUCUUCUCUGGCGAGGGGUUCUGACGGCUAGGGUUAGGUUUGGGUGCGGAUGAGGUUAUUUAUACUCAUCUGCUUUUGAUCUAGGCUGUCAAUCGCUUUUAAUCUGAGCAGUCUGAUCGCGAUUAAAUAGGGAGUGAAGCUGGGUCGUUCAUCGCGAUUCAAUCUGGAUCGUCCGUGCGCAAUUCAAUCUGAGUCAUCUGUGCGUGCGGGAACAGACCUCAGUCAUUCAAUCGCGCGCGCGCGGAUCGCCCACAUGGCUCCCCACCGCGUGGCCUCCCGCGUCAACACCUCUGCCACUUGGCGCAUCCUGGUUGGUCAAAGCUGCUGACCGGUCGUCUGACGUUGCGCAAUUUUUCUAAAUUGCGUUUUAACCUCUGAUUUUCGAUUUUUCUUUCAAAAAUACCCCCAUAACCGAAAUUUUUACCCCUUUUUUUAAAAAUUAUUUUUAAUUUAAUUCUUAACAAAUUUUUAUCCAUUUUUUUCAUUAAAUUAAAAUAAAUUAAAUUAAUAAAUAACUAUAUUUAAAAGAAUGAAAAAAAUAAAAACAAAAACAAAUGUUGGGUGUUACAAUUUUAAUAUAUGCCUAAAUAUUGAAAAUGUUUCCCAUAAAAAGUCCUUUAUGAAAAAUUUUCAGAUAGAGUAAACAUUUAGGUCAUAUUUCAAGAAAAAUGAUUGAAAGAUUAACAAAUGAUGAAAUUUUACUUUGAUGAUCAUGGUACUUAUGUUGAUUGUCUUAGCGGAAAAAUUACCAAGGUUGAAAAGUCUAGUGUGUCAUGUAGUUCAGAUCAUUAGAGAAUCAUUUACACUGACAUCUCUGUACCUCAUGACACUGCUUUAUGAGACAAUAAGUAUUUUUUUGUAUUUAUUGUUGAUUUUUCUCAAUAUGGGUAUCUUUAUUUGAGUAAAGAAAAUCAGUUGGUCUUGAACAAUUUAAAUUCUGUAAAAAUAAAAAAUAAUUGGGAAAAUCUAUUAAGGUAGUACACUCUAAACGAGUUGCUAAUUAUUAUGGUAGACAUGGUACACAGAACAAGUAAUGGGCCCAUUUGCCAAAUACUUACAAGAUUGUGACAUUGUUGCCCGUUAUUCAUUGCCUAAUAGUCCCCAACAAAAUGGUGUGACUGAAAGGUGCCUUAAGGAAAUGAUGAGUGUGAUGUCUAUGUCUAACCUACCUGAAAAUCUUUGGGCUGAAUCCAUUAAGACCGCCGUAUACAUUUGUAAUAGAGUUCUUAGUAAGUCUAUACCUAAAACAUCUUUCGAAUUUUGAACAGGAAGAAAACCUAGCUUGUUUUGCCUUGGUGUUUGCGGUUAUACUUUUGAAGUAAGAAUAUAUAAUCCUUUUGAGGAAAAUCUCUAACCAUCUACGUACUCGUUACUACUUUAUUAGUUACCCUGAAAGGUUUAAAGGACAUAUGUUUUAUUGUCCUACACGCAGCACUAAAAUUGUAGAGUCCAUGGCAGCUAAAUUCUUAGAAGCAGAUGUUGCAGAUAUUGAUUUUAUCCUACAUGUUGAUGACUCUAAUCACUGUGAAAUAGUUUUCAUUCCUUUGCCACCGUUAGUUACCAGUGAAGCACCAAUAUCUGGAGGGGGGUGAGGGAGAAGAUAUUAAUUUUUUAGCUAUUGGUCGUUCCACUAGUUGUAAUCUUCUUGCUUCUGUACUAGUAAUUGCGGAUCAAUUUUGUAAAAGUGCGGAACUUAAAUGGAGAUGAAUUCAUAAAAUUAAAUGCGAAAGCGAUUAAUAGAGUUAGGGUUUACAUUUCUUACACAAUAAUUUACAAUGUCAAUAUGCUUAGGGAAAUAUUCCUUCUAAAAAACAAACGGUAAUUGAAAAAAUAAAAAAAAAAAAGCGAAUACAAAAGUGUACUCGAACAAUCUUCACUAGCACUUGAAUAGAGUCCCGGUGAUAAACUACUCACAACUCUCUUACUGAUCAGAAUUUGGAUCUGGAUUCUAGUUCUCUUGAUCUGAAAUAGUUAAUGAAAGGGUGAGAUACAUUAGCCCAAUAAGAAUACCACACUAAUCACAGAUACGAAAAAUUAAAAAUUGAUAAAAAUUAGAAAAACAAUUAAUGGAGUCCUUAUUUUAGUUAAAUACCUUUAAACUUGAAGACGUUUAUUUGAUACUUAUCGUAACGAGUUUUCCAAAAAUAAUCUAUGAAAAUUUAUAUUCAUAUCACUUUUCACUUUCAUGCAUACAAGAACAAGGGACAAUAAUUUUUCUUUCUUACCUUCUUACUAGUACCCCUAGGGGUUCAUAGGGAUGUCUCUUUCCCUACCCGUGAACCCAAUAUCCAAUUUUACGAUUAACCAGCUGUCCCCAUACCCGGUCUAGUAAUGGGCGCCAAACAUUCCAUCGACUCGAUACCCCGUCUGGUAUGAGAGUGACCUAUAUCUCCCAAACCUUUUUGGUAAGGGACUUCCUAGCCCCGUCCGACUGNNNNNNNNNNNNNNNNNNNNNNNNNNNNNNNNNNNNNNNNNNNNNNNNNNNNNNNNNNNNNNNNNNNNNNNNNNNNNNNNNNNNNNNNNNNNNNNNNNNNNNNNNNNNNNNNNNNNNNNNNNNNNNNNNNNNNNNNNNNNNNNNNNNNNNNNNNNNNNNNNNNNNNNNNNNNNNNNNNNNNNNNNNNNNNNNNNNNNNNNNNNNNNNNNNNNNNNNNNNNNNNNNNNNNNNNNNNNNNNNNNNNNNNNNNNNNNNNNNNNNNNNNNNNNNNNNNNNNNNNNNNNNNNNNNNNNNNNNNNNNNNNNNNNNNNNNNNNNNNNNNNNNNNNNNNNNNNNNNNNNNNNNNNNNNNNNNNNNNNNNNNNNNNNNNNNNNNNNNNNNNNNNNNNNNNNNNNNNNNNNNNUUGUGUUCUCAUGCGACGCGAAGUAGUUAUACCCAUCCCGCGUUGAUCUGGGCUGUCCAUCGCGAUAAAUCUCGUCCGUCCAAUCGCGCCUAGAAAGGAAACGAAUCUGAAUCGUCUAUUGCGAUUGAUCUCGACUGUCCGAUCGUGUCUAAGGGGGAAACGAAUCCGAGUUGUCCACGCGCGCGAGAUCAGUCAUGGGCCAUCUGAUCGCGAGGCUCGCAGAUCGCCUGCGUGGCACCGACGUUAGCGUGUCUUGCCACGCGGUGUGCUUCAAUUCGUCAGGGCUGCUGAUUAAAUGGUCUUACGUGGUCGAACUUUUCCUAUUUGUAUUUUGAUCUUCUAUUUCUAAUUUUUUUUUCAAAAAUACUCUCGAAAUUCAAAUUUUUACUCUUCUCCAAAAUUGCUUUCAAUUACAUCCCUAUUUAUUUUUUUCAAUAAUUUAAUUAAAUUAAUUUAUAAUUAAUUUUUUUAUUUAUUUUUAAAAUACCGAAAUUGAUCACAUACCAAAUUUUGAGUGCGAAUAUUACAAAUUUUAAGAUCCAAUUGUGACAGAGACCUUCUAUUGAGACACCCAUUAGGAGAUCUACAAGGCAAAGAAGAUCAGCCAUAUCAGAUGAUUAUGUAGUUUAUCUCGGAAAAUGUGAUUAUAACAUUGGUCAUCACUUGUCCUCAAUCUGAAACGUGGGUUGAUGUGAUAAGGGAUUAGAUGUAGUCAUGGCAUAGAAUGAGGUAUAGGAGCUUAUUGAGUUACCAAUAGUUUCAAAGUGAGUUGGUUGUAAAUGAUUGUUUAAAGCCAAGAGAAACUCUAAGGGUAAAGUUGAUUGUUGUAAGAGUAGACUAGUUGCAACGAUUCUACUAAAAGAGAGGGCAUAGACUUUAAUGAAACCUUUUCACCUAUUUCUUCUAAAGAUUCAUUUAGAUUCACCAUAGCUUUGGUGGCCCACUUUGAUUUUGCAUUCCACGCAAUGGAUGCUGGAACUACCUUUUUAAAUGGUAGCAUUAGUAUGAGGUUUAUAUGAUACAACCAGAAGUUUUUCCAGUGAAUGGUAACAAACACAUAACUUGUAAGUUGAAAAUGUCCAUUUAUAGUUUGGAACAAACGUCUCACCAAUGGUAUCUCUAAUUUGAUGAAGUAUUUCUCUCAGUUUUAUCGAGAAUAAGAUAGAUCAGUGUUUCCAUAUGAAGGUCAUUGGGGAGUAAAUUUAACUUUUCAGUUUGCUGUAUAGAUGACAUUUUGCCUGCAAGCAAUGGCCUUGCUUUACUUCAUGAAACCAAGUAUCUUCUGUUUACAACCCUUGAUAUGAAAGGUCUUAGGGAAGCUUCCUUUGUACUUGGAAUCAAAAUUAUAUGUGAUAAUCACGUUGUUUAUUUGGACUUUUCCACCAGGCUUAUAUUAGAAGGAUAUUUGAGAGAUUUGAGCUUUUAAGUUACAAAUAUACAGAUGUACCUAUUGUUAAAGGUGAUAAAUUUAAUAAAGAGUAAUGUCCUAAAAGUAAACUUGAAAAGGAAUUUAUGAAGAACAAACCUUAUGGUAAUGUGAAUAGCAGUAUAUGUAUGUUCGAGUUAGUAUUACACCAGAUAUUUUGUUUGUUAUUAACACCUCAAGAAGGUAUUUGUUUGAUCCAAGUCCUGAUUAUUGGGCUACAGCAAAGAAGCUGACGAGAUAUCGUCGGAGAACUUAGAUUACAUGCUUGUAUAUAAGAAUGUUAAACAUCUUGAAGUAAUUGGAUAUGUGAUGCGAACUUUGCAGGCUAUACUGAUGAUUUCAAGUCCUGGUCAUGAUAUAUCUUUAUGUUAGUUGGAGGAGCAAUAUCUUGGAAAAGUUGCAACAAACUUUUACUAUGUUUUUUUGGGUCUAUGGCACCUUAUAGAGCCUUUGCACAUGCCUUUUGGCUUAAAAAUUUUAUCUCAAGGCUUGUGGUUGUUGAUUCCAUUUGGACCUCUUAAGACUUUUUGCAAUAACGCUUCUGGUUCUUUAGAAAGAACAAUAGAAGAUUUAAUGAUCCUAAGGACAAGAAACCAAGUACCUGAUACUCAAGGAUUUAGUAAACAAGAAAGCAUGAUGGUCAACUACAUUGAACUUGAUACUAGCUAAUCCAUUGAUCAAAGGACUAAGACCUAUUGUAUUUAAAGAACAUGUUAUGAACAUGGGUAUUUGAUGGUCCUUCGACAUACUUGAUUAGUGGGAGUUUAACUUAUUGAUGCAUGACCAUUUUGAUUAGAAUUUUGUAACCGAGUACUUUUUAUCAAAUGAAAUAGAAUUCAUGAUUGAUAUUAUUUUAUUAUUUUCUUUCUGGAAGUUUGAAUCAUUGCACAUCAUGAUUAUGUAAUCAAAUUUUAGUGUCGUCUGUAAAUACUGUUAUGUAAAUUAUAGUAUACUUGUUGCACCAUGUUUGAGCUCAUUGUGGUAUACAUUGUUGUUAACACAUGAUAUUUUGGAAUUUCUAGAUGACCGAUACAGAGUAUUUUGGUGAUAUCUCGAUGUUAAGUAAGUAAUAUCUCGGUAAUGAGAAAUCAUAUUAUGGACUACAAAGAAAAUAGCUUGUUAAGAUCAUAUUUGAGCUAUUUCUUCUUAUAUUACCAUAUCUAUAAUCUAUGUCAAUGUUGUUGUUAAUAAUUGUAACCAUGACUAGUGCUCUAUUAUUGAAUUAUAUAUAGACUAUCAUUUAUUCAUUGUUGAUUGACUUUAUUGUAUUUGUUUGAUUUUAAGGUGUGUGCCCAAAACCAUUAUUUUUCAAAAUAGCCACAUGGAAGUUUUUAAUUGUUUAGCAUGUAAAAUAAUUGUCACUUAUAUAUUUAUAUAUAUUUGUUUUAUAUUAUUAAAAACUCAAUUAAACAUUGCCCAAGCAGAAGAUUGUAAAAAUUUAUAAACUAUUAUUUAAUUGAAAAUUUGUGUUUAUCAAAAGCAGGUUAAAUUGUGAGUUUUGAAUGUAACCACAUUUGUGAUUUAAAUUUAUUAAAACGUCUUAUGAUUUUGAAAUAUAGAUUGAUGACUUAAUGUAAGCUCAUGUAUAUCUUAGUAAGAAGUUGGUAAAGGAAGAUCCCUGUAUGGGAGAUAAGUUCUUUCCUUCACUCUUAUAUAUAUAAUUAGUGUCAUCAAUAAUUGUCAUUAAAAAAAAAAAAAAGAGAAAAGAAAGGGAAGAAGUAGCAGCAAAUUUUAACACCAUGUUCUUGUAAUAUCUUUCGAAGGUGGCUGCUUGCAUGGAAGGAGGCCAAAGGGUUUUGAAAUCUGUAUAGAGCUUACCUGUAUGAUUAUACAUUUUGGGUGGAGAUAAUUUUGACAUUAUAAAUUUAGAUUUUUAGUAAAAGUUAAAAGUUAUUUUUAAAAAAUUAUACACUAUAACUUCUUACUUUAAACAAAUUUUAAAUUUAUUUAUUACCAAAAGUAAUUUGCACUUUAUUCAUUUGAUUACAAUGGUAUUUUUAAAAUGCAAAAAUCACUGUUAAAAACUGCCCAAAUGGAUUCUAAGAAGUUUUUUGUAUCAUAAUAUAUUUUAAUGCAUAUAUUUAUUUUUUGUAAUUCUUUUCUGGAAAUAUGAAACAAAAAUCUUUCCUGUUAGAUCUGGCUGCAGUGCUGCUUAAAACUAGUCUGACUGGUGGGCAAAAGAGAAUAAACUAGUUUAGAUCUUAUUUGAGUUGGUUCAUACUAGGGAAUAUACUAAUUUUGGGAACCAGGAUCUGGUCAUUGUUUGUUUGCUAUCAACAUUGUGGCAAAAUUUGCCCGUGGACAGCUGAAUCUUUUGACUGAAAUCCCCUUAUAUAUGGAAGAACUUCAAAAAUAUAAUUUCCUUCUUGUGAACAAAAGUCUUUGUAUUAGGAAUAUAUAUAGUUUGAAACAUGUUUAGAACAUUUUUUAGUAAUAUAAGUUAAAGCCAGAAUAAGAAUCUUCAUUAUGGAACAUGUUUAUAAGAAAUGAAGUCACAAAUGCAAGAUAUUAACGUUCAUCCUUGAAUACAUUCCUGGAAACAGUCUCCCAUAUCCUAAAAACUCAGCCAAAAACUUAUGUAAAGGGAUUAAUGAGGAAAAAAAAAAAAAAGAAAAGAGCAAAGAACCAUAUAUCCAAGUGGAAAUAAGUUAACAUAAGAAAAAACUAAUUAAAAAUUUAAAAAAAAAAAAAAAGCCAUGCGAAACUCACAUAUUUGAAGUUUAAUGUACUAUCAAUUUCUUUUACUAGUUAAUGUUAGUUUUGCGUUUAUUCUCGUUUUUUCUUCUUUCUUGUCGUUUAAACCUUGAUGUCUUUUUUGGGAGAAAACCUAUUUUACUUUUCUCUUUUUUCGUAUUUGUUGCAGAAAAUGGACAAUCAUUUACUAUUCUUUUUCCACAAGAUUAGUUCGUUCCAAUCCUCUUCACUUGAUCAAUCCAUCCCAGAUUGCUCAAAUCCUAGAUUUACUCAACAUAAAUGUCUUCUUCUUUUUUUAAGUAUAAUUAACAAGCAUGUAUGAGAGAGUAUUUUACUCACUUUAUUUUGUAAGAACUUCAAUAAGAGUUUCUAAGUUGUUGUGUUUAUAAGUUCUAAAAAAGUAUAUAAGUUAGGAUUUUG
rnacentral:lncRNA from 1 species